AGUUCCCAAUGCCACUCGUCCUCUGCCAGCAGCCAUGCUCGCCUACAAUGGAUUUCUGAGUCUCCUGCAGACCAUCAGAAGGGCUGGAUGGACGUCUGGUUCACAGCAUAAGGCCAGCCACUGUCUGCAGAUCCUGACGUUCUUUGAACGCACUGCGAACAACCCCAAGCCACAUGCGGGACCCCUAGAAGCUCCCUGUAAAGUGCACAACCGAGCUUUAAAGGAGUGAUGGUACCUGACAGCCCAAACGUGGCCGGGGACUUCACCUGCCACUCCAUCUCUUCCUUACUGAUCUCAAACACCACGUUGGCAUCCUGGAAGAACUGGUCCAUGAGGGGCUGGAUGCGGCCCAGGUCUCCUUCGAUCAGUGCAGUGUGGUACUCAAGCUCGGGGGUCCCUGUUUGCAACUGAGGCUCCUUCUCCAUCUUCUGAAAGAUUUGAAGCUUUCCUCUGACCACCUCUGGCCGUCUAUCCAUUGCAAAGCAACUGAUUUCCAAACGGUUCUUCAGGAGGGGGAAGAUGGUCUUUGGGAGCGGGAGCUAUUUCUAUUUCAUGACUCAAUUGUUCUUCGAUCGGAGCCCAGCGGUGGUGUAUUUAUAACUCCUGUGGGCUCUGAUGUGAUAAUGGUCACUUGAUAUGACUAGAGCCAUGUGAUCACAAGAUGCCACAGCAUUCAGCCACCUCUGUGAUUAUAUAGCUAACUUCUGAGAAAGACAAUGUGUUGAUCUCGACCCUCCUGUCCACGCUGGUGGCAGACACCCAGCACCCACUCUUUUAUCUGCUGUUGGGAUGACUCUCAGCACUGAAUGUAGCUGUCUGUGUGGAUUAAGACACUAACUUGCAAACAUGAUUUCUGUAACCAAAAACACAGGGAAAAUAAGUGAUGUCCUGUUAGGGUUAAGGCAAUGGGCUGAACUCAGGAUUUUGGGGAGGGAAGUCUUAAGUUUAGAAACAAGAAGCAAACCUUUAGAAUGUUCAGCCUUGCUGUUUAUGUAUUAUAAGAUUUCCUCCUAAACGUGUGCUUGAGGAGGAGUGGCGUGGCCUGGGCCGCUUUGCAGUCAGUGGCUGAGCUCUCAUUUAAGCCUCUGCCUUGGAAUCCAUCCUCCAUCUGUCAUCCCUUGCUGCCUGGACACCAGAGAUGCCCAGUGGGACCUUGUGAGACGUGGGACACCAGCGUCUGUGGCCUCUUUCCAGAGAGGGCUGUCUGCUGUUCAGAAUCUAGUUUCUCCCCUAAGGAAGGAGAUCCUGGACAGUGUCACUCACUCUUAGGAGGCCAGAGCUAAAAAGGGACCUGCUGUCCCCUGCUGUCCCCUGCUGUCUCCAGGUCCUCUGCAUGUGUGUGUGUGUGUCUGGGGGGGUGUUGGGAGCUAAGAAAUAUUUCUACAAUGAUGCAUUCUUGAAGGAAGUCAACAGAGAGGAAUAUUUCAUGACACUUGCAAAUGAUAGGAAUUCAAAUAUCAGUGGCCAUAAAUAAAGUAUACUGCUUAUUGA